AUACGAGGGGUGCAAGCGUUGUUCGGAAUUACUGGGCGUAAAGGGAGCGUAGGCGGAGAUUCAAGCGGAUUGUACAAUCCCGGGGCCCAACCCCGGCUCUGCAGUCCGAACUGGAUCUCUUGGAUAGUUCAGGGGCAGGCGGAAUUCCUGGUGUAGCGGUGGAAUGCGUAGAGAUCAGGAAGAACACCGAUGGCGAAGGCAGCCUGCUGGGGACUUAUCGACGCUGAGGCUCGAAAGUGCGGGUAGCAAACAGGGUUAAAUACCCUGGUAGUCCGCACCGUAAACGAUGCAUACUGGGUGUCCGGGGGUUCCCCCGGGUACCGUAGCCAACGCGUUAAGUAUGCCGCCUGGGGAGUACGUACGCAAGUAUGAAACUCAAAUGAAUUGACGGGG
rnacentral:rRNA from 1 species